rnacentral:rRNA from 1 species
GACGAACGCUGGCGGCGUGCUUAACACAUGCAAGUCGAGCGGUAAGGCCCUUUCGGGGGUACACGAGCGGCGAACGGGUGAGUAACACGUGGGUGACCUGCCCUCAGCUCUGGGGAUAAGCCCUGGGAAACUGGGUCUAAUACUGGAUAUGACUCCACGGUGCAUGUCGUGGGGUGGAAAGCCUUGUGCGGCUGAGGAUGGGCCCGCGGCCUAUCAGCUUGUUGGUGGGGGAUGGCCUACCAAGGCGACGACGGGUAGCCGGCCUGAGAGGGCGACCGGCCACACUGGGACUAAGACACGGCCCAGACUCCUACGGGAGGCAGCAGUGGGGAAUCUUGCGCAAUGGGCGAAAGCCUGACGCAGCGACGCCGCGUGAGGGAUGACGGCCUC